rnacentral:rRNA from 1 species
GUGAGGAAUAUUGGUCAAUGGGCGAGAGCCUGAACCAGCCAAGUAGCGUGCAGGACGACGGCCCUAUGGGUUGUAAACUGCUUUUACACGGGGAUAAAGUGUGCGACGUGUCGUUCAUUGCAGGUACCGUGCGAAUAAGGACCGGCUAAUUCCGUGCCAGCAGCCGCGGUAAUACGGAAGGUCCGGGCGUUAUCCGGAUUUAUUGGGUUUAAAGGGAGCGUAGGCCGUCUGUUAAGCGUGUUGUGAAAUGUAGAUGCUCAACAUCUGAAUUGCAGCGCGAACUGACCGAUUUGAGUGCGCAGGAAGUAGGCGGAAUUCGUGGUGUAGCGGUGAAAUGCUUAGAUAUCACGAAGAACUCCGAUUGCGAAGGCAGCUUACUGUAGCGCCACUGACGCUGAAGCUCGAAAGUGCGGGUAUCGAACAGGAUUAGAAACCCGGGUAGUCC